GAUUAAGCCAUGCAUGUGUAAGUAUAAAUAAUUAUAUAGUGAAACUGCGAAUGGCUCAUUAUAUCAGUUAUAGUUUAUUUGAUAAUUAAUUUGAAAUUUCUUUUGAAAUUUUAAUACUAAUUGGAUAACCGUAGUAAUUCUAGAGCUAAUACAUGAAUUAAAAUCCUAACUUUUAUGGAAAGGAUGUAUUUAUUAGAUGAUAAAACCAAUAUAAUUAAUAAGGUGAAUCAUAAUAAUUAAUCGAAUCGUAUGGUUGUAAAAUACUAACGAUAAAUCAUUCAAGUUUCUGCCCUAUCAGCUUUCGAUGGUAGUGUAUUGGACUACCAUG
rnacentral:rRNA from 1 species